UUGCCGCACCGGCUCCAUUGCCAGAGGGUCCUGCACUAGCUGGUCCCAAUGAGGCGGGUCCCAAUGAGGUGGGUCCCAGUGAUAUUAUUAUAUAUUUAUAUAAUAAAAUUUGACUCUUUUAUUUGGAUAGCUAUCAUACUAAUGAUUUAUUUAUUAUUAUUUCAGGUCAGUCUUCAUCAGUAGUGAGGCAAAGAUGAGGUCCAUCAAAAAAUUUCACUC
rnacentral:lncRNA from 1 species